GCAGUUUAGCGCCAUGAGAGGAGAGAAGUCUGAUGGCUGCUCAUAGGACCUGCAUAUUGUUUCUUCAUAGCAGUCCACAGCUCAGUGAUAUAGACUCACAGGAGGUGGGAGAGUCCAGGGCACUGUAUAGUUGCGAAGAGGAGGAGCGAAGAGGAGGAGGGGAUGAGAAGUACGGCCACGCUGUGCUUGAGAGGCGAGUGAGAGAAGCACAUUAAUCAUCCAGAGACAUCUGUUCAUUCUGCUGCUUUACAGUUCUGUCAAAGCACUCUUGACUAGCCUCCCAAGCACCACUAAAGAAGGAGAAUGUCAGGAGUAGCUCCGGGAGGAGAAAGUAUGGCCCUCUGUUAUGGAAUUCAUGGAACCCAUAAUCUCCUUUCAUGGGGUCACAAAGAGCCAUCA